CCUACGGGAGGCAGCAGUGAGGAAUAUUGGUCAAUGGACGAGAGUCUGAACCAGCCAAGUAGCGUGAAGGAUUACUGCCCUAUGGGUUGUAAACUUCUGUUAUAAAGGAAUAAAACGAGGCACGUGUGCCUUUUUGCAUGUACUUUAUGAAUAAGGAUCGGCUAACUCCGUGCCAGCAGCCGCGGUAAUACGGAGGAUCCGAGCGUUAUCCGGAUUUAUUGGGUUUAAAGGGAGCGUAGAUGGGUUGUUAAGUCAGUUGUGAAAGGUUGCGGCUCAACCGUAAAACUGCAAUUGAUACUGGCAGUCUUGAGUACAGUUGAGGUAAGCGGAAUUCGUGGUGUAGCAGUGAAAUGCUUAGAUAUCACGAAGAACCCCGAUUGCGAAGGCAGCUUACUAAACUGUGACUGACAUUGAUGCACGAAAGUGUGGGUAUCAAACAGGAUUAGAUACCCGAGUAGUC
rnacentral:rRNA from 1 species